AGUGAACGCUGGCGGUAGGCCUAACACAUGCAAGUCGAACGGCAGCACAGUAAGAGCUUGCUCUUACGGGUGGCGAGUGGCGGACGGGUGAGGAAUACAUCGGAAUCUACUUUUUCGUGGGGGAUAACGGAGGGAAACUUACGCUAAUACCGCAUACGACCUACGGGUGAAAGCAGGGGAUCUUCGGACCUUGCGCGAUUGAAUGAGCCGAAGUCGGAUUAGCUAGUUGGCGGGGUAAAGGCCCACCAAGGCGACGAUCCGUAGCUGGUCUGAGAGGAUGAUCAGCCACACUGGAACUGAGACACGGUCCAGACUCCUACGGGAGGCAGCAGUGGGGAAUAUUGGACAAAGGGCGCAAGCCUGAUCCAGCCAUACCGCGUGGGUGAAGAAGGCCUUCGGGUUGUAAAGCCCUUUUGUUGGGAAAGAAAAGCAGCAGGUUAAUACCCCGCUGUUCUGACGGUACCCAAAGAAUAAGCACCGGCUAACUUCGUG
rnacentral:rRNA from 1 species